rnacentral:rRNA from 1 species
CCCUUAGAUGUUCUGGGCUGCACGCGUGCUACACUGAUAUUGCCAAUAUGUCAUUCUUAUCCGAAAUGGAUUGGGUAAUCAAGUAAUGAAAUUUCAUGCUUGGAAUCGGUAAUUGCAAUUUUAUCGUGAACGAGGAAUUCCUAGUAAGCACUAGUCAUCAGCUUGCGUCGAUUACGUCCCUGCCCUUUGUACACACCGCCCGUCGCUCCUACCGAUUGGGUGUGCUGGUGAAAUGUUCGGAUCGGCCGUUUGUCGCGGUUUCCGCGGCUCGUGGCUGAGAAGUUCAUUAAACCCUCCCACCUAGAGGAAGGAGAAGUCGUAACA